rnacentral:misc_RNA from 1 species
AUAAAGUUCAUCUCAAGGAGGCAGCCAAAUGUUCUUAAAUUUAAGAUUAAACCAGGCCCCGAGGCAGGUGGUGCAGAUGCGAGGACAAAAAGAAUAUCAUCAUUCCUAUUCCAUCCCUUCUUGCCCCUGGCACUUUCUAUUCAGCAGACUUUUAUGCAACCCACUGUUGUGAAUAUCCAUUUCCGGAGAUGAAGAAAAAAUCCUCCCAACUUUCUUUUUAUUAAUGUGUGCAAG